rnacentral:rRNA from 1 species
GGCUCCGGCCCUAUCAGCCUGAAGGCGCCCGAUCUCGUCUAAUCUCGGAAGCUAAGCAGGGUCCGGCCUGGUUAGGAUGUUGGAUGGGAGACCACCUGGGAAUCCCGGGUGCUCGAGGCU